GACGAACGCUGGCGGCGUGCCUAAUACAUGCAAGUCGAGCGCAGGAAACCGUCUGAACCCUUCGGGGGGACGACGAUGGAAUGAGCGGCGGACGGGUGAGUAACACGUAAAGAACCUGCCCACGGGUCUGGGAUAACCACGAGAAAUCGGGGCUAAUACCGGACGGGUCAUCGGACCGCAUGGUCCGAGGAUGAAAGGCGCUCCGGCGUCGCCCGUGGAUGGCUUUGCGGUGCAUUAGCUAGUUGGUGGGGUAACGGCCCACCAAGGCCACGAUGCGUAGCCGACCUGAGAGGGUGAGCGGCCACACUGGGACUGAGACACGGCCCAGACUCCUACGGGAGGCAGCAGUAGGGAAUCUUCCACAAUGGACGAAAGUCUGAUGGAGCAACGCCGCGUGAACGAUGAAGGCCCUCGGGUCGUAAAGUUCUGUUGUAAGGGAAGAACAAGUGCCGCAGGCAAUGGCGGCACCUUGACGGUACCUUGCGGGAAAGCCACGGCUAACUACGUGCCAGCCGCCGCGGUAA
rnacentral:rRNA from 1 species